rnacentral:rRNA from 1 species
CCUACGGGCGGCAGCAGUGGGGAAUAUUGGGCAAUGGGCGCAAGCCUGACCCAGCAACGCCGCGUGAAGGAAGACGGCUUUCGGGUUUUAAACUUCUUUUCUUGGGGACGAAGAAAGUGACGGUACCCAAGGAAUAAGCCACGGCUAACUACGUGCCAGCAGCCGCGGUAAUACGUCGGUGGCAAGCGUUCUCCGGAUUUAUUGGGUGUAAAGGGCGUGUAGGCGGGAUUGCAAGUCAGAUGUGAAAACCACGGGCUCAACCUGUGUACUGCAUUUGACACUGGAGUUCUUGAGUGCUGGGGAGGCAAGCGGAAUUCCGUGUGGAGCGGUGAAAUGCGUAGAUAUACGGAGGAACACCAGUGGCGAAGGCAGAUUGCUGGACAGUAACUGACGCUGAGGCGCGAAAGCGUGGGGAGCAAACAGGAUUAGAUACCCCUGUAGUC